UUUUACAGCUGAUAAUAUUUCAGUGUGUCUAUGUACCACCGCAUUUUUAUCUGCACCUCCACUGAUGGGCACUUGGGCUAUUUCCAGAUCUUAGGUAUUGUAAAUAGUACUGCUAUGAACAUAGGAAUGCAUAUAUUCUUUUUGACUUAUGUUUCUGGAUUCUUAGGAUAUAGUCUUAGUAGUGGGAUUAUUGCAUCAAAAGGAAGUUCGAUAUUUAACUUAUUGAGGAACUGCCAUACCGUUUUCCACAGUGGCUGCACCAGUCUGCAUUCCCACCAGCAGUGUACCAGAGUUCCCUUUUCUCCA